rnacentral:tRNA from 1 species
GGGUUGGUGGCGCAGUUGGCUAGCGCAAGUCUCAUAGCUUCUGAGGUUGAGAGUUCGAGCCUCUCACACCCCC